UAAAAGUGUCGUCAAUGACCAGACAGGCAGGAGAUUUAUACUCUGUACUAGAUGGUCAUUCAACGCCCUGACCUGUAUGAGCAAGUGGGGCAUUUGCCUGGAUUACGAAUACGAGCAGCGAUGUCGAGAGUGCACAGCACGAAGACAUCGACUUUUA
rnacentral:sRNA from 1 species